rnacentral:lncRNA from 1 species
GGGGAUUGUGAGUUUCGAGCGGUGGAAGAAGCUAGGGCAAAACCCUAGCAGAGAAAAGGGCAGCAUUUUUUUCUACAAGACAUACUUUUUUUAUUUUUUUUAGAAAUAUUUUGUUUAAAUAAUAACGCAGUACGACGCCAUUUUGAGACAAUGGCACCAGUGCCAAAACGACGCUGUUUGGUCCCUUGACCCGCGCGGUGACCCAACCCGGGGGGAGGAUCCGCG